rnacentral:rRNA from 1 species
UCGAAAGCCUGUCCCAGUUCGGACUGGAGUCUGCAACCCGACUCCACGAAGUUGGAUUCGCUAGUAAUCGCGCAUCAGCCAUGGCGCGGUGAAUACGUUCCCGGGCCUUGUACACACCGCCCGUCAAGCCAUGGGAGCCGGGGCGCCUGAAGUCCGGGACCGCGAGGACCGGCCUAGGGCGAAACUGGUAACUGGGGCUAAGUCGUAACAAGGUAGC